UUAGAAAGAAAGAAAAAAACAAAAUAAGUGUGUUGUUAGAAGGGUACCACAAACAAAACCUAGUAAGUACAAAACAAAGAAAAUGUGCUUCGUCGGUACAGUCUUAUUGUUGUGCGCCGUCGAUUGUGUUGUUGUGCAUCGUCGAUUCCGUCGUGGUUCUCCGCAGAUUGCAUUAUCGCCAAUAGUAUUACUCCAUCGUAUUUCUGUUGUCACUAUUAAUCUCUGCCAAUUGCGUUGUCGUGGCGAAUUCCAUGACUACAUUGCAGGUUGCUAACGAAUUGGACCGACCCGGUAUUAAGGGUUUCGUUAACGCGUUUGGUCUCUUUUCUAGCUGCUUCCUUCUCGUGUCCUCGUGUCUAAAACUCGGUAAUGGAAGUUGUGCUCAUCCUUGAUCUUAUCUCGCUUUUGCUUCAUCUCUUGGUUCUGAUUUGCGUUGUUGUUUUAGUUUUCGGUCUUCCACUGAUUGAUUAAUGAUGCAGAUUUCGGAGGUUCUAAAUGCUACCCGGUUAGAGAUCCUCAUACUGCCCAUUGAGAAGGUCAACUUUAGUCUUACCUUUAAUGUUUUAACUUGCAAAUUUUUAGGGAAAGACGGUGUUGUGCGAAACCUAAUUCCAACUUUGCUCAACCUAAUUCCAACUUUGCUCAACCUAAUUCCAACAGCGCUCAACCUAAUUCCAACAACGCUUAACCUUAUCAAAACAAACAAUGUAUAUGUUGCUGCUAUGGGAAACGAUUCACGCACGUGUUACUUCUGUGGGAAACGAUUCACGCACGUGUUGCGGCUGUUGGAAACGAUCAAUGCUGUCGUAUUGUCGCCGUCGUGGUAUUGCCUCCGUUCAUAUUAUCGUGUUGCUUGUAUUGCUGUGUUGUUUUGUUGCUGCUUGCUCGGUUGUUAUCAUCUUGUUUCUACUUUUUCUGUAAGUGUUCAUUCAACUCAACUAUAGUAGGAAUUAUCACUAGUCUCUAUGUUCAUUUAGGUUAACAUGUUUUUGUCUUAUACCAUGUCUUUGUUGAAUUUAAGUUGAACCUGGAACUAUUACCCCUCUAAUAAUUUGGAAGAAAUAGAAUCACAAUAAAUAGAAUUACAAAAUUCUGAUUCAAGUUGUGUAUACUGUACUGAAUCUGAAACAAGUUUUCAUCUUUUCUGCCACUGUCAAUAUGCUAAAGAAGUAUGGAAAAAUAUUUUGUCUUAGUCGAGGUUAAAAAGUUUCAGUUGUGAUAAUAUUGUGGUCAUAUCCUUGGGUUCACUAGCUCAUCCAGAAGUAAUAAAAAGCAGGAAAGAAAAAGAACCAAUAGAAAGCAAGAAAGAAAAAGAAGUAAUUGGGGGUUGGAUAGAAAAGGGGCUGGAAGGUUGACGGCGUCGGAAACAAGGGCUUAACUUAUGAAGAGUUUGAUGUGGUGAAAGAAACUAUGAUAGGAGUAGACUAAAAUAGAGUUGCUAUAGCAGUACCUCAAAGGAGAUACUAAGGACAACAUUUGUUUCUCAAUUUUCGGAAAAUAAGAAUAGAAAAAGAAGAUCAAGGAUAUAAACAACAUUUGUUUCUCAAUUUUCGGAAAAUAAGAAUAGAAAAAGAAGAUCAAGGAUAUAUUGCUGUACCGAGAAUCCAUUCGUCGAACUCAGUUCUCAACACAUUUCUAAUUUCGGAAGCUCGUGUAUAAAUGAACACCUCUAAUAGAACGUAGUGAUCUUCUCUUUUUGUGAGGUAAAAUGAAACCAAGGUAUUAAUGAAGAUGAUGAUGAGGACAACGGCGUAAGUGAUAAAAGUGAUAAAUUUUAAGAGGAGGGCUUAAGUGAUGAGGACCACAUAGGUGAUGACCUUCAAGAGGACGACAUAGGUGAUGACCUUCAAGAGGACGACAUAGGUGUGAUGAAGAGGAUGAUGGAGAUGACGAUGAGUUCAACAAAUUUAGAUGAGUUAGAUGUUGUUGUUUUAGGUUUCUACUUAAGCAUUAAACUUAAAGAAACUGUGUAUUUUGUCAUUUUGCUAGACUUAAUAUUCUAAGUGUUAAACUUUUAGUACUAAGUAAUGUUCGACAUUUUCUGUUUAUUGUGUGUAUUUGACCUAAUGUUUGAAGAUUUCAUUACCACAAUUUUUGUGGUACAUGCAAUUUAUGUUUGGUGUAAUUAUUGUUUGAAUU